rnacentral:lncRNA from 1 species
GGCCCCUAGUCGGCUAAUCUUCACCUUAUCCCACCCUCGCUAUGCACAUCCACCACUGCCCAUGCUAGGCUCGCUGCGGUGCCGCGUCAUGCCGCGCCCGCGCACCGCCACCAGUGUCUCAUCACACAUCACCGAGCUCCGUCGAGCGCUGGAGAAUGGACAUCAGCCACCCCCAUCCGAAGGCUUGCAGCGCCCGAAGCUACGCCAGAGCACCACGGACAUCGACGCCUCUGGUGAGCCCCGUCAUCUCCUCUUUGUUGUGCCUAUACCACCGCCGCUGCCUUGCCCCCAUGCGAGCGCUGCUCGUUGUCGCCAUAGCCACGCACCAUGCUACCCUGUGCUUGCUCUGCAUCGCGGACCGUGGUAACUCUGCCUCAACGCCACCAUGCGUAGCGCCGGUGAGCUACAUGCUGCCGGCGAACCCACGCUGCCGCGCCCUGGCCUCUCCACUGUGACCAAGACCCAUGGCCGGUGUAGCCCUCCUCCCUCCAUUGCUGCGAGCGUGCGAGCAGCCAUGGCCACCGGCCCUCCCAGCCCUUGCUGUUGUGUGCGGCCAAUAAUAUCACGACACGUCGAUGUAAAAUCCGUGAAAUGCUAAUUAUUCAAUAUAUAUUGUGUUAUAAAUCCAUUCCAACCUGUUCCAUUUGCGCCAGCUCCGUAAUAAUAUAGUCUACGUGUUAGUAACAAUAUUUUAUCGCGACGCAUGUCUUAUUUAUUUAAUUAAUAAUCAGUUUGUUCGUUGGUUAUUAAAAUAACUUUCCAAUUGAAAACUAAUUUAUAGUUUUAAUUUGCGCUUUUAUAAAUAAAUAUUAACUUGAUUAAUACCAACUUAAACACUUUUUAUUUAAUAUUUGCCUAGUAUAAUCGUGUUAUCUGUUAAUGAUUAUCACGCGUCGUCGCACUAUCCGCGCGUUGUUCGCGAGUGAUGUGCUCGUGGUCACGUGCUGAUUCGCGCGUCGUUCGCGCUGGUCGCGCGCAUUGUUUCGUGCGUCGUUCGUGCACUAUGUCGCGCGUGUCCGCGUGUCGUCACGCGCCAUUUGCACGUUUCGCGCGUCUUUCGCGCGUAUCGCGUGCUGUGUGUGUGCAACAUUAAACUGCUCGCUUAUAAUCACUCGUGUCGGUUAAUUAAUAGUUGUUUAAUCAUCCACUAUUGGAAUAGUAAGUUAGUCAAAACUAAGUAGUAGUUUUAAUUUACAUUUGAUAAAUGUCAAUUAAUAUAAUUGUGUCAAAUUAAAUGUUCUAACUAAUACUGGUUUAGAGUAAACGCGAUAACUUCUCGACCAUAGCUCCGAUUAUCACGUUUCUUUUCGCCGCGUGACCAUAGUAGCGAGCUCUAUUUUCGUAUUGCAUGUUUUGAUUAUAUUUUUCUUUGUAUGGUGUAAUGUUCUUAUGCAUAUGUAUAUGUUUGUUUGCUUGUGCCUGUUCGUCUUCGCUUCGCGUCGCGAAUAGACUGCGAUCCAUUUUCGAGCUUCAAGGAAUCGACAGUCAAGCUUCGGCAACCAAGUGAUCGAAUUUUUCGAGUUCUACAAAGUUGAAGACCCUGAGCAUCUGUUUGGUGAAUGCAAGUGUCCUCUGUCCCAUUAUGUCCCAUUUACUUUAUAAUACACUGUCCCGCAUACUAUGAACAACUUAAGGAUUUACUAGCUUUCUAUUUACCUGGUCCUUGAUUACCUUUUGGGCUACUAUGGUUAGAUUCAUGCUAUUGUUUUACUUUAAUCAAUGAACAUGAUGAGAUACAAUGAUGAUACUAUGAUUUUAUUCUGGAUAUGAUGAUAUACUUGUGGCAUUUAGGGGACUCGGGCUGUUUCCCGAGUACCUCUCCGUAAGGACCUGUUCGUUGAGAGACCACCCUGGAUAACAGUGCAACUAUGAGGGUGAAAUGGGAUGCCCUUAGCUAAUUAAUUAGAGGAACUAGAGGUGUAGUUGCUUCGCCGUCGUGCCGUCAAUGGGGUCCAGACACAGUGCUUGCUUUGCCGAGGCUGAGUGCCGAGGUUCUUUCGUUUUGCUUUUGUUAGUCACCCUCCUGCGGGGAGAGGUACUGUGUUUGUCAAACUGGAGAAACCUAACGGGCGGCUAUGACCUCUAGGGAAUCUUUGUAAAAGCUACGUAGUGAUACCCUGCCGGACCACCUAGGAAGUGAUCAAUGGGGAGUCAUGAUCCCUGGGCAAAACGGGAAUCACGGCUCAUGGGUAAAGUGUGCGACCUCUACAGAGGGUAAUGAAACCGAUAUAUCAGUCGUGCUCACGGUUAAGAGCAGCAUUGGGAUCCUCUUUGAUUAGAGAUACUCCGGAUACACCUCAGAUGAUGACUUUAAUGAUGAUGGUUAAUGAUGGUGACUUUAAUUAUGUAUUCUAGUAUUUCCUCUCUGAGGAGGUACUUUUUGGGAUUAUAACUUGGGUUUUAUGAUAAAAUUUGGCUUCUACUAACAAUAAAUACCUGACCAACCCCACAUAAAAGCUAGUCCACUUCAGCCAAACGGGGCAUUUGCUGAGUACGUUGAUGUGUACUCACCCUUGCUUUCACAAAACACCAGGUUGCCUUUGGUGCAAUCUAUGCUGAGGUAAAGAAGAAGACGUCGAGGUGGAUCUCCAGGAGUUCCAGGACGUUGAUGAGUUCGAGGAUUAGGCUAGCGACCUCCCCCAGUCAGCUGCCUGUGGUGGGUUGUUUACGUUGGCUACGUUUCGAUUCUGCGUACUUUGAUUUAUAUUAUGUAAAUGACUCUAGUCUGUAAUAUUAUUACUUACUCUUUAUUGUAAUUCGAAGCAUUGUGCUAUGAUGAGUCAUUUAUGUAAUCGCUGUGUACGUGAAUUCCUGAUCCUGGCACGUACAUGAUUCGCAUUCGGUUUACCUUCUAAAACCGGGUGUGACAACCGGGCGCACGCGGGACGCAACGCUUGCAGCCCCGGGUCGCCUCGGCAACGAGCACCACCGCCGCGACCGUCGAGCCCACCUCGACGAGAAGGUGCGCCGAGGCUACCACCCCAGGCAUGGGGGACGCUACGACAGUGGGGAGGAUCGGAGCCCCUCGCCCGAACCACCCUGUCCGCAAGCCUUUAGCCGGGCCAUACGACGGGCGCCGUUCCUGACCCGGUUCCGAGCCCCGACUACCAUCACUAAGUACUCGGGGGAAACAAGGCCGGAACUGUGGCUCGCGGACUACCGGCUGGCCUGCCAGCUGGGUGGAACGGACGAUGACAACCUCAUCAUCCGCAACCUUCCCCUGUUCCUCUCCGACGCCGCCUGAGCCUGGCUAGAGCAUCUGCCUCCUGCGCAGAUCUCCAACUGGGACGACCUAGUCAAAGCCUUCGCCGGAAACUUCCAGGGCACAUACGUGCGCCCUGGGAAUUCCUGGGAUCUCCGAAGCUGCCGCCAGCAGCCAGGAGAAUCCCUGAGGGACUACAUCCAGCGAUUUUUGAAGCAGCGCACCGAGCUGCCCAACAUCACCGACUCAGAUGUCACCGGCGCGUUCCUCGCCGGUACCACUUGCCACGACCUGGUGAGCAAGCUGGGUCGCAAGACUCCCACCAGGGCGAGCGAGCUGAUGGACAUCGCCACCAAGUUCGCCUCUACUCAGGAGGCGGUCGAGGCCAUCUUCCGGAAGGACAAGCAGCCUCAGGGACGCCAGCAGGAAGACGUUCCCGAGGCAUCCGCUCAGCGCGGCACGAAGAAGAAGGGCAAGAAGAAGUCGCAAACGAAACGCGACGCCGCCGACGCAGAUCUUGUCGCCGCUGCCGAGCACAGGAACCCUCGGAAGCCUCCCGGAGGGGCCAACGUGUUCGACAAAAUGCUCAAGGAGUCGUGCCCCUAACAUCAGGGUCCCGUCAAGCACACCCUUGAGGAGUGCGUCAUGCUUCGGCGCUACUUCCAUAAGGCCGGGCCCCCGGCGAAAGGUGGCAAAGGCCAUGACAACGACAAGAAGGAGGGCAACAAAGCAGAGGAGUUCCCAGAGGUCCACGACUGCUUCAUAAUCUACGGUGGGCAAGUGGCGAACGCCUCGGCUCGGCACCGCAAGCAGCAGCGCCGGGAGGUCUGCUCGGUGAAGGUGGCGGUGCCAGUCUACCUAGACUGGUCCGACAAGCCCAUCACCUUCGACUAAGGCAACCACCCCGACCGCGUGCCGAGCCCAGGGAAGUACUCGCUCGUUGUCGAUCCCGUCAUCGGCAAUGUCAGGCUUACCAAGGUCCUCAUGGACGGAGGCAGCAGCCUCAACAUCAUCUAUGCCGAGACCCUCGGGCUCUUCCAUAUCGAUCUAUCCACGAUCCGGGCCGGUGCGGCGCCCUUUCACAGGAUCAUCCCCGGGAAGCGCGUCCAACCCCUUGGGCAACUCGAUCUGCCCGUCUGUUUCGGGACUCCCUCCAACUUCCGAAAGGAAACCCUCACGUUCGAGGUGGUCGGGUUCCGAGGAACCUACCACGCAGUGCUGGGGAGACCAUGCUACGCCAAGUUCAUGGCCGUCCCCAACUACACCUACCUCAAGCUCAAGAUGUCGGGCCCCAACGGGGUCAUCACCGUCGGAUCCACGUACCGACACGCGUACGAAUGCGACGUGGAGUGCGUGGAGUAUGCUGAGGCCCUCGCCGAAUCCAAGGCCCUCAUCGUCGACCUGGAGAGCCUCUCCAAGGAGGUGCCAGAUGCGAAGCGCCACGCCGGCAACUUCGAGCCAGCAGAGACGGUUAAGUCCGUCCCUCUCGACCCCAGCAACGACGCCUCCAAGCAAGUCCGGAUCGGCUCCAGGCUCGACCCCAAAUAGGAAGCAGUGCUCGUCGACUUUCUCCACGCGAACGCCGAGGUUUUUGCGUGGAGUCCCUCGGACAUGCCUGGCAUACCGAGGGAUGUCGCCGAGCACUCGCUGGAUAUCCGAGCUGGAGCCCGACCCGUGAAGCAGCCUCUGCGUCGAUUCGACGAAGAAAAGCGUAGAGCCAUAGGCAAGGAGAUCCACAAGCUGAUGGCUGCAGGGUUCAUCAAAGAGGUAUUCCAUCCCGAAUGGCUAGCCAACCCUGUGCUUGUGAAAAAGAAAGGUGGGAAAUGGAGGAUGUGUGUAGACUACACUGGUCUAAACAAAGCAUGUCUGAAGGUUCCCUACCCUCUGCCUCGCAUCGAUCAAAUCGUGGAUUCCACUGCUGGGUGCGAAACCCUGUCAUUCCUCGAUGCCUACUCAGGGUAUCACCAAAUCAGGAUGAAAGAGUCCGACCACCUCGCGACCUCUUUCAUCACACCCUUUGGCAUGUACUACUAUAUUACUAUGCCAUUUGGUUUGAGGAAUGCAGGCGCGACAUACCAAAGGUGCAUGAACCACGUGUUCGGAGAGCACAUCGGCCGAACGGUCGAGGCUUACGUCGAUGACAUCAUAGUCAAGACAAGGAGAGCCUCCGACCUCCUCUCUGACCUUGAAACGACAUUCAAGUGUCUGAGAGCGAAGGGCGUGAAACUCAACCCCGAGAAGUGUGUCUUCGGAGUCCCCCGAGGCAUGCUCCUGGGGUUCAUCGUCUCCGAGUGGGGCAUCGAGGCUAACCCAGAGAAAAUCGCGGCCAUCACCAACAUGGGGCCUAUCAAGGACUUGAAAGGAGUACAAAGGGUCAUGGGAUGCCUUGCGACACUAAGCCGCUUCAUCUCGCGCCUCGACGAAAGAGGCCUACCCCUGUACCGCCUCCUAAGGAAGACCGAGCGCUUCACUUGGACCCCCGAGGCCGAGGAAGCCCUCGAGAACUUAAAGGCGCUCCUUACAAGCGCGCCCAUCCUGGUGCCCCCCGCUGCGGGAGAAGCCCUCUUGAUCUACGUAGCCGCAACCACUCAGGUGGUCAGCGCCACAAUCGUGGUCGAGAGACGAGAAGAAGGGCAUGCAUUGCUCGUCUAGAGGCCGGUCUACUUCAUCAGUGAAGUACUGUCCAAGACCAAAAUCCGCUACCCGCAAAUUCAGAAGCUACUGUACGCGGUAAUUCUGACGCGACGAAAGUUGCGACACUACUUCGAGUCUCAUCCGGUUACUGUGGUGUCAUCCUUCCCACUGGGGGAGAUCAUCCAGUGCCGAGAGGCCUCGGGUAGGAUUGCAAAAUGGGCAGUGGAGAUCAUGGGCGAGACAAUCUCGUUCGCUCCUCGGAAGGCCAUCAAGUCCCAAGUCUUGGCGGACUUUAUGGCUGAAUGGGUCGACACCCAGAUUCCAGCAGCUCCGAUCCAACCGGAACUCUGGACCAUGUAUUUCGACGGGUCGCUGAUGAAAACAGGAGCGAGUGCGGGCCUGCUCUUCAUCUCACCCCUCGGGAAGCACCUCCGCUACGUGCUGCGCCUCCAUUUCCCGGUGUCAAACAACAUGGCCGAGUACGAGGCUCUGGUUAACGGGUUGCGCAUCGCCAUCGAGCUAGGGGUUCGGUGCCUCGACGCUCGUGGCGACUCGCAGCUUGUCAUCGACCAAGUCAUGAAGAACUCCCACUGCCGUGACCCGAAGAUGGAGGCCUACUGCGACGAGGUUCGGCGCCUGGAAGACAAGUUCUACGGGCUCGAGCUCAACCACGUCGCUCGACGGUACAACGAGACUGCGGACGAGCUGGCUAAGAUAGCCUCGGGACGGACAACAGUUCCCCCGGACGUCUUCUCUCGAGACCUACAUCAACCCUCCGUCAAGACCGACGGCACGCCCGAGCCCGGGGAGGCCUCGGCCCAGCCCGAGGCACCCUCGGCCGCCGAGGGUGAGGCACUGUGUGUCGAAGAAGAGCGGAAUGGGGUCACGCCUAAUCGAAACUGGCAGACCCCGUACCUGCAAUAUCUCCACCGAGGAGAGCUACCCCUCGACAGAGCCGAAGCUCGGCGACUGGCGCGGCGCGCCAAGUCGUUCGUCUUACUGGGUGACGAGAAGGAGCUCUACCACCGCAGCCCCUCAGGCAUCCUCCAACGAUGCAUAUCCAUCGCCGAAGAUCAGGAGCUAUUGCAAGAAAUACACUCGGGGGCUUGUGGUCAUCACGCAGCACCUCGGGCCCUCAUUGGAAACGCCUUCCGACAAGGUUUCUACUGGCCGACCGCGGUGGCCGACGCCAUUAGGAUUGUACGUACCUGCCAAGAGUGUCAAUUCUACGCAAGACAGACACACCUGCCCGCUCAGGCCCUGCAAACGAUACCCAUCACCUGGUCGUUUGCUGUGUGGGGUCUGGACCUUGUCGGUCCCUUGCAGAAGGCACCCGGGGGCUUCACGCACCUGCUGGUCGCUAUCGACAAAUUCUCCAAGUGGAUCGAGGUCCGACCCCUAAACAGCAUCAGGUCCGAACAGGCGGUGGCGUUCUUCACCAACAUCAUCCAUCGCUUUGGGGGUCCCGAACUCUAUCAUCACCGACAACAGCACCCAGUUCACUGGCAAGAAGUUCUUGGACUUCUGCGAGGACCACCACAUCCGGGUGGACUGGGCCACCGUAGCUCACCCCAUGACGAAUGGGCAGGUAGAGCAUGCCAACGACAUGAUUCUGUAGGGACUUAAGCCGAGGAUCUACAACGACCUCAACAAGUUUGGCAAGCGAUGGAUGAAGGAACUCCCCUCAGUGGUCUGGAGUCUGAGGACGACGCCAAGCCGAGCCAUGGGCUUCACGCCGUUUUUUCUAGUCUAUGGGGCCGAGGCUAUCUUGCCCACAGACUUAGAAUACGGUUCCCCGAGGAGAAAGGCGUACGAUGACCGAAGCAACCAGACCAGCCGAGAAGACUCACUGGACCAACUGGAAGAGGCUCGAGACAUGGCCUUACUACACUCGGCACGGUAUCAGCAGUCUCUGCGAUGCUACCACGCCCAAGGGGUUCGGUCCCGAGACCUCCGGGUGGGGGACUUGGUGCUUCGGCUACGACAAGACGCUCGAGGGCGCCACAAGCUCACUCCUCCCUGGGAAGGGCUGUUCAUCAUCGCCAAGAUUUUGAAGCCCGGAACAUACAAGCUAGCCAACAGUCAAGGCGAGGUCUACAACAACGCUUGGAACAUCCGACAGCUACGUCGCUUUUACCCUUAAGAUGUUUUCAAGUCGUUCAUAUACCUCGUUCUCUUUACAUACACAAAUAGAGUCUAACCAUCAAGGAAGGGUCAGCCUUGCCUCGGCAAAGCCCGACCCUCCCUCGGGGGCUAGAAGGGGGGAACCCCCUCUGCGUCAAAAUUUUCCUCAGAAAAAGUCUUUCUGCUAGAACAUCUUUUGCACUUUUUGACUACUUCGAUAGCAGGAUCCUGAAAACGAUGGAGUACACGUAAGCGGCAAGGACGACCGAGCCGAGGGACUCCUACGCCUCCGGGAUACGGAUACCUCACUCAUCACCUUCUGCGAUAAGUAACUCACGCUCGGAUAAACGAUUCUGCUGACCGAACAAGUCUUAACGCUCGAAAACUUUUCUGCCAAAAUGAUUUUUCACGUUUUCUCGACUAUAUCGAUAACAGAAUCCUGCGGACGAGUAAGAGUACACGUAAGAGGCGAGGCCGACCGAGCCGAGGGACUCCUACGCCUCCGGGAUACGGAUACCUCACUCAUCACCUUCCGCAAUAAGUAACUCUCGCUCGGAUAAGCAUUCUGCUACCGACGAACAAGUCCUGAUACUCGAAACAAGAGGAAAGGAAACACAGCUUUAUAGUACGACAAUGAUAUGUUUGGGCCUCGGCGGCCGCAAAAAACAUACGCGUACUACAGACAAACUGUUCCUGCAGGUUCAGACAUCAACAGGGGGAGCAGCAGCACCCUCGGCGUCGUCUCCACCUUCGGCGGAAUCUAGCCCGGCCUCGGACGACGACACGGGCGGAGGAUCUCCACCUCGAAGGAAGAUGUCAGCACCGCCCCUGGGCCAACGCCGCCAGGGUCUCCUCCAGGAACCCGGCCCGAGCAGACGGCUUGACCGGCCGCUCCAUAGCCUCAGCCAGCUGUCCCCUGAGGACAUCAGCCCGACUCAUGGCCUCGGCAGCCCGACUCCGGGGUUGGUCCCGCCAGUGGACGACCUGGCUAGGUUCCAGCCGCCGCUGCUACGCCUCCUCGGCCUGGGAAGUCACCUGCUUCUGGGUCGACGAAGCUUCUUCUCGAGCCGACUCCGCCUCUGUCCACGCUGACACUGCUGCCUCCGGCUCCGGCUCAUCGCAGAGCGGCCGAGGGUUUCUUUAACUAAGCAAGAGAAGCCUUGGGUGACAAGGCCGACAGAGCCGAGGGACUCCUACGCCUCCGGGAUAUGGAUACCUCACUCGUCACCUUUCGCACAUGGCAACUCAAACUUGGCUAAGCGGUUCAGCUAGCCGACAGGCGAGUCCUGGCGCUCGAAAUGAGGAAGGAACACGGUAUUGCACUCAAAUACCUAGAUGUUCAGGCCCCGACAGCCACAAUGAACAGACACCGGCACUCUAGGUGCCAUUACAAACGGAACUCCGGUUCCACUCUCGCGGGUACGAACAACCCCCACAUCGGAGGGCCUGCGGGACGACAAGCUCCGGGUGACUCGCCGGCGACCUCUGCAGCAGCAGCGAUGGUACCAGGGCGAACGCUACCGCUGGAAGGCUCUCGUUCGCGUCCUCUCGCGGAGGACAAGAACCAGCUAUUAAAGCCAAAGAGCCGGAGGCCCGGAGCGCAGAUGGCGCUGACGAUCUCGUCGGCGGAGAAACCUUCUCCGGCUGCCACCACCUCAGCACCGACGGCGGCGUCCACCCGCCCACCAACACCGCACCAGCGAGCGCCGGCCGCCCCAAAGCGCACCGGCAGGUCCUCACCCCCGUCCUCACCACGAAAAUGAGAACGGGACUGUCCCAGAACACGAGUACCGCCCUCGCGGCGUACGACGUGUUGUGAGACCCUCCGGUGCGGCCGGCCACAGUCGCCCGGGCAGAGGACGGAAUGUUGCACCCUGGCCGGGCAGCAGCAGUUCGCCUUCCCCCGCAUGGCUGGAGGACGCCUCCUCCGCAGAGCUGGAGGAUGGUUUCCACCCCCAGAUGCCGGAGGAAGAAGCGGGACGCCAGCCCACGCGAAGGCAGGCCCUGCCUUGCCUCGCUCCCCGCCCCAGCAAGGAUGAUGAAGAUCCUUGAAGCUAAGGGCGGGGCAGAGGCCGCAGCCCGGCUUGCUUCUCCCCACCAUCGAACUGGUGGUCACCGUCCUGGGUGACCAUUGGUGAGGGAAUGCAGCCGGGCUGCCUGAUGAAAAUCCUUGAAGCCGAGCAAUGGCUGAAAGGUGCCAACCUCCGCGAAGUUGCGCUCCUCCAACAACAGCAAGACGAAAGCAACGCGGGCGCUCCCCAUCCGGGGGCUCGGAAGGUGGAAGGGCGCAAUGCAUGAGGGGAGUGCGAAGGCGUGGCUACCACCCAGGGGUCGAUCCCUUUUUAAAGGCGACUCUCCCCACUCGCGUCCUCAGGCGUCGCGGACUAAGUCUUCACCAACGCGCUCCAGGGUCCUCCCCCUACGACAUGGGGGCUGGGUCCCACACGUCAUGCAAGAUGGCCCGGGAUAGAAGAAGCCAAACCGCCGCGCGCGGAGCGUGUAACCGCCCAGCGGUUACAAGCACUCCUCCAUCCUCGCCGAAACCGGCGGGUGGAAGGACGGACCGCCAUGCAGGCGGCAUGCAACUGCACCAUGGGGAUGCACCCUUUCGACUUCGACGCAUCCAGCAUGGAGGCCCAGGCCCACACGUCAUGUAACCGGCGCGCUGGUUGCUACGUGCGAAAAACUGCACCGCCACUUGCGCCAAUACCGCGCUUUCUCGACUGCGGAACCGGUGCCGCGACUCGAGGCAACCCCGCGCAUGGCCCUACAGUGCCAACCAAGCGCAUCGGUCACGGGUCAGUCAGCCGCGGGAGAAGGCGCGACGGUCAAUAUGGCCAAAAGUGGGCCGGCAGUAAUGGCGGCAGCAGGCGGGCGGAAGCAGCAGUCAAAUCGUCUACAGGUUCAAGUCCCCUCCUAGAGCAGCAGGGGAGCCCUCUCCCACAGCGUGAAGACGACACGCCCGUGUUCGGUCCCUCGAACGGCUCGCGCACGCACAACGGCUGCCCCGUGAACCACCCGUCCCGUCGCAUUAACUUCGCGGCAGGGCAGGCGACACCUUUGGCAGGUGAAGCGGAUGACGUUUCACCUCCGCCAUGAUGACCACGUCAAAAAAGGUGUGCCAUAUCGUUUAAAUUCGUAUCCUUUUCUCCUUCCCCUUUCUCUCUCUUGCUACAGGGACUGGGAAAGGGGAUACUCCAGAAGGGAUCCUUCUCCGCGAAGGAAGCGGGCCACGAGCCCUCCUACUGAUCAUGGGUUCGAAGGCUGGCCCCUCGGAAGGGUUCGACAGCCGCCCAGAGCACUCGAGCUUCAGGCUCACUACUGAUCAGAGGUUCGAAGGCUGGCCCCUCGGAAGGGUUCGACAGCCGCCUCAGAGCACUCGGGCUCCGCGCCCACUACUGAUCAGGGGUUCGAAGGCUGGCCCCCUGUCACACCCGGUUUUGGAAGGCAAACCGAAUGCGAACUAUGUACGUGCCAGGAUCAGAACUCACGUACACAGCGAUUACAUAAAUGAACAUCAUCACACAAUGCUCGAAUAAUAACAUAAAAGAGUACUUAUUACAUCAUAGAGUCAUAGACAUCCACAUAUUCAUUGUCUUAACAAGUAAAUCAAAGUGCCAGCGAAACGCAGUAAAGAUAAGGCCUUCACAGGCAGCUGACUGGGGGUUGCCGCCAACCCACACCUAGAAUUCAUCGUAGUCUUGAAACUCCUAGAAGUCUCCUUCCACGGCUUCGCCUUCUCCUGAGCAGUGGUUACAAUGCGGACAACCUGGUGUUUUGUGGUAAAGCAAGGAUGAGUACACAUCAACGUACUCAGCAAAUGUCCCGUUUGGCUGAAGUGGACUAGCUUUAUGUGGGGUUAGGCUCAAGCAGUUGCUUUUAGUUGGUCAGGUAUUUAUCAUUAGUAGAAGCCAGAUUUUAGCAUUAACCAACCCGUGAACCAUUUCCUCAUUGAGGAACAACACCAUCAUAGUCGAACCAAAACCAUCACAUAAUCCUUGUAUCUCGAACCAUCUGUAUCUCUAAUCAAAGAGCAUCCCAAGGCUGCUCUUAACCGUGAGCACGGCUGAUAUACCAGUUUCACUACCCUCUGCAGAGGUCGCACACUUUACCCAUGAGUCAUGAUUCCCUUUCUACCCGGGGAGAGCUAAUCCCCAUUGACCACUACCUAGGUGGUCCGGCAGGGCAUCACUACGUAGCUUUUACAAAGAUUCCCUAGAGAUCAUAGCUGCCCGUUAGGUUUCUCCAGUUUGAUAAACACAGUACCCCUCCCCGCAGGAGAGUGACUAACAAAGAGCAAAACGAAAGAACCUCGGCACUCAGCCUCGGCAGAGCAAGCACUAUGCCUGGACCCCAUUGACGGCACGACGGCUAAGCAACUACACCUCUAGUUCAUCUAAUUAAUCAGCUAAGGGCAUCCCAUUUCACCCUCAUGGUUGCACUGUUAUCCCGGGUGGUCUCUCAACGAACCAGUCCUUACAGAGAGGUACUCAGGAAACAGCCUGAGCCCCCUAGAGUAUCACAAGAUCAUCAACAUCAUCAGGAUAACAGUAUCAUAAAUAGUCACAUCAUGUUCAUUGAUUAAGUUAAGGCAAUAGCAGAGUGCUAACCAUAACAACCCAUAUGGUCAUCAAGGAUAAAGUAAAGUGUAAAGCUAGUCAAUCCUUAGGUCUCAAGUAAGUAAUGCAGGAUAGUAAGUUAUAAAUGAGUAGGACAUAAUGGGACAGAGGACACUUGCCUUCACCAAACUGCUGAUCAGGGACUUCCUCUGCAACUGCCUCGGGAAACACAGACUGCUCGUUGUCUACGUAAAGCAAUCAUUCACACUAUGCACUUGGGAAAAUAACAAACAAAAACAAAAUACCAAACAUGUGCAGCAGAGAGAGGUCACAUGUUCAUAACAGAAAAGGGAUAGGCACUCUAGUGUUCCCUAGGUCUGGGGUAGAGGACUAUACAAAGUGAUUCAUUAUCCACUAAUCAGGUUCAAGUCAGUGGUGGGAUUAAAUAAUUAUCUGGUUUAAGUUCCUAAACUUAAGUGUUUGAGUCCAUAAACUUAAGUGCUCCAACUUUUAUUAAAGUCUACUUUCUUUUAUUUAUCUCAAAUAGGGUUCCCAUAACCUUAACUUUAUCCUAAUGAUUAACCAUUAAUUGGGACAUGGAAACAGGAGGGAAACAUUGCAUAAACAGAUAGAUAAUAAUAUUAUGAACAUUUUGCAAUUUGAAGCACCUAAUUUGGAGUUCAUAUGACAAAGUUAUGAAUUUUACAAGUUUGGGGGUUAAAAUUAUACCCUAAGGACCUAUUUUGAAUUAAAUAAAAGGUCCGAGGACCUAACUGCGAGAAACCAGGGACGGCGGGCGCAAUUUCCAGAAAACAGGGGGGUUCUUUAAGAAAAAGCGCGGGCGAAGGGGUAUCGGGCGCUUACAGCCGUUGGAUCUCAGAUCGACGGCCAGGAUUAGAUCCCGCGGCGGGCGCGCGGGCGCGCGGCGGCGUGAGCGGCUGACAGGCGGGGCCGGGCGGGCAGCGCGGGCGCGGGCGACUGGCGGGCGGGGCCGGGCGGGCAGCGCGGGCGCGGGCGACUGGCAGGCGGGGCCCAGCUGGCAGGGAGGCGGGGCGCGGGGGAAACGGCUCUGGGCCGUUGGAUCUUGGGCAGACGGUUGAGGCUGGGUUCGGGCUAUUUGAAACAGGGCCGUCCGAUCUAAGAUGGACGGCGGAGAUGGGGCGGCUGGCUCCUGUCUCCUUCGGCUAGCUGGGGCGGCGGCGCUCGUCCCUGCGGCGGAGGAGCUCGCCGGAGACGAGGGGCGCGGGGGCCCUGCGGGUCCUUGGGGCGAUCCGAGUGGCCGGGGAGGUUAGGGAGGGCACAGGGAAUCCAUUGGUGGGGUCUGGGUCGGGGCAGGGGCACCGGGGGGGGGGGGGGGUGGCUCACGGCGGAGUGGCUCGGCGGCGGCGGUAAGCAACUCCGACGAGCAAUCAAACGCAGCAGAGAGCAAAAUAAAGGCCAAUAGGGGCGGGAGAGGUUCUUUACCUCAAGGCGGGCUCCGGGGACUCCUCGGCGGCGACGGAGACGCGACGGUGGCGGCUGCACGGCGGACGGCGGGUGAGCGCGGGCAGAGAGAAAUAGGGAGGGGAAGGGGAAAUUGGUGCGCGUUUCGGGUUGCGGACGUCGGGGCGAAGCUCACCGUGGCAAUGGACACGGCGGAGCUCCAACGGCGGCCGGGAACCGAGCUCGGAACGGCGGGGUUUACGGCGGCGGCGCUCUGGCGUGCGCACAGCGAGGGAGAGGUGGAAGGGGGGCCGGUUGGUGCGCAAAUGAGGGAGGGGGAGAUGGCGAGCAAGGCUCGGGGCUCAAGUGGCCGAGGGCGAGGUGGGGCGAGCCCCACGCGCGACGUGGGCGCGGAGACCGCGGCACGCACGGCGGCGGUUACGCGAAGACGGAGAAGCUGACAAGCCGGGCCCGCGGCGCAGAGAGAGAGAAGAAAGCGGGUGCGGGCGCGAGGGAAGCGGGGCUGACGGGCCGGGCCCACGGGCAGAGAGAGGGAGAGGCGGGUGCGCGGAAGGCGGCCGCGCCGACAGGCCGGGCCCGCUGCGCAGAGAGAGGAGGGGGGAGAGGCGCGCGCGCGAGGUGGGUUGACUGGGCCGAAAGGCCGAGGGGGGCAGGGAAGUGGGCUGCUUUGCCUUUUUCUUUUAUUUUGGUAUUUGUUUUCUCUUUUUCUUUUAUUUAUUCUAUUUGAUUCAAAUUCAAAUGAGCCCCAAAUUCAAAUUAGACCUUUUGAGAAUUAUACACCAAACAAAAGUGAAAUCUAGGGUUCAACAUGAUGCAACAAUUCAUACUCCCUUGGAGUUUGAGCUAAUAGACUAUAAUUAUAAAUAAAAUAACCACUUUUCUCCUAUAGAAAUGAGAAAGAGAAGAUUGGGAAAGGAUGAAAAAAGGGAAGUAACACCUGAAUUUGUGAAUAUGAGCAAAGAAAUUUUAUACCCCCAAAUUCAGGGUGUUACAAACCUAUCCCCCUUAAAAGAAUCUCGCCCCCGAGAUUCAGGGUUGGUCAGCAAAGAGUUCAGGGUAUUUGGCUUUCAGAUCAUCUUCUCGUUCCCAGGUUGCUUCUUCCUCAGAGUGGUGACCCCACCUGACUUUGCACAUUCUGAUGGUGUUCCUCCGGGUGACUCUGUCUGCAAACUCCAGAAUCUGCGUUGGCUUCUCUAUGUAGGUCAGAUCUUCCUGAACUUCCAAACCCUCCACUGGCAACUGCUCUUCUGGUACUCGCAGACAUUUCUUCAAUUGCGACACGUGGAACACGUUGUGCACUACCGACAAACUUUCUGGUAGGUUGAGUUGGUAAGCCACUUCUCCACGCUUUGUUUGAAUCUGAUAUGGUCCAACGUACCGGGGUGCUAACUUGCCUUUAACUUCGAACCUUCUGACUCCCCUGAUAGGUGACACCUUCAGAUAGACGUAGUCUCCCACUUCAAAACUCAGUUCUCUUCUCCUUCGGUCCGCAUAGCUUCGCUGUCUUGACUGGGCUGUCUUUAGAUUCUCCCGAACCAUUUUGAUAUUCUCUUCAGCUUCAAGCAAGAUGUCGGGGCCAAACACCUGUCUCUCUCCAGGCUGGUCCCAAUGCAGCGGAGUCCUACAACUCCGUCCAUAGAGUGCCUGAAACGGUGACAUCUUCAAGCUGGCCUGGUAACUAUUGUUGUAGGAGAAUUCUGCAUAAGGUAAUCUUUUGUCCCAUCCUGACUUGUCUUGCAACGCACAGGCUCUCAACAUAUCUUCUAGGAUCUGAUUAGUUCUUUCAGUCUGACCGUCUGUCUGCGGGUGAUAAGCUGAGCUGAAGUUCAAAUGGGUGCCCAAAGCUUCUUGUAGCUGCUGCCAAAAAUGAGAUGUGAACUGCGUUCCUCGAUCUGACACUAUCUUCUUCGGCACACCAUGAAGGCAGAUGUAACGCCCCGAAUUUUUGCAGUUGAAUUUUUUCUUUUCUUUACUCGCCAAAAUUCGGGCGUUACCUUUUCUUUUUCUUUUUCCCCUCGCUAAACCUUGACCUUUUCCAAAGUUCUAGCGGGAUUCGGUUUGGAAUUCCCGUACGUAUAAAAACCCUAAAUACUUUAUGUUGUUUGAUGCACCAUGCCGCCCUUGCAUUUCUUUUGAUUGCUUUGAAAGCGCAAUUGCAUUCAUGUAGAAAGAUCAGAUUUCGAAAAUGUGGAGAAGAUCUUUUCUUUCUUUUUUCUCCCUCUCUUUUUCUCUCCUCUUUUUCUCUCUUUCCCGCGCCGUGGGCCGACCCCGGCCGGCCCAGGCCCCUGCGCGCCCCCCCCCUUGGGCCCAAUAGGCCCAACCGCCCCCCCACCUCCCCUUUUUCCCCCAAUUCUUUCUCCCUCCCUCUCAUUUUCUCUCAUUUUCUCUCCCUCUCCCUAAGCCGCCGCCCCUACCCCUGCCCUAAGCCGCCGCCGCCCCCUGCCCAACCGCCGCCCUCGGCCGCACCUGCCGCCGACCGCCCCUCGCCGUCGCGCCCCUCCCCGGUGAGCUCCCCCCUCCCCCUCUCCUCCCUCCCCCAUCCCCUCUCCCCUUUCCCCAUGGCCGGUUCGGCCGCCUCCCUGCCCGCCCGGUCCGGCCGCCCGCCGCCCAGCCCAGCCGCCAUGGCCGGCUCGGCCGCCCCGCCCCCCUGCCUCGCCCGGCUCGGCCGCCCCCUGCGCCGCCCCCUGCCCCGCCGGUUCGGCCGCCCCUGCGCCCCGCCGGUUCGGCCGCCCCUGCGCUCCGCCGGCUCGGCCGCCCCGCCCCCCUGCCUCGCCCGGCUCGGCCGCCCCCUGCGCCGCCCCCUGCCCCGCCGGUUCGGCCGCCCCUGCGCCCCGCCGGUUCGGCCGCCCCUGCGCUCCGCCGGUUCGGCCGCCCCGCCCUCGCCAGCCCGGCCGCCCGCAGCCCCGCCCGCGCCCCGCCUAGGGCCGGUUCAACCGCCCUAGGGCCGGUUCAACCGCCCCCUCCCCUCUGUUUUUUUUUUAUUUUUUUUAUUUUAUUUUAUUUACUUUCUGUGAUCAUAAUUACUGUAUUUUAAGUAGGCUAAUCACUGUUCAUGCUAUGGGAAAAUAGGAAGUUUAAUUUAAAAUUCCGUUAUGUUAUUGAUUCACGUAAUUAAUUGUUUACCCUGUGCAAUGUUGAUCAACUAAAAGUGAUUAGGUUUCCAUUAGUAUAUAUAAAUUUAUAUAACAGAAUUAUUUUGUUAAAAACCAAUUGUGUCAUUAGUGCAUAAGAUUUAACCCCCCUGCGAGACCUUUCCCGUUUCUUUCUAACCAUAACAAAUGCGUUAUCGAAUGUCAUACUUGAUGCAUAUUCGCUUUAUUUGUUAUCUUGUAUGGUGUACUGUUCUUUUGUAUUAAAUAUGUGGAUGUAUGUAUGUAUGUUUGCGCUCGCAUAGAGAACGAUCCG